rnacentral:rRNA from 1 species
AUUGAACGCUGGCGGCAGGCCUAAUACAUGCAAGUCGAACGGUAACAUAAAAGAAGCUUGCUUCUUUUGAUGACGAGUGGCGGACGGGUGAGUAAUAUUUGGGAAACUACCUGAUAGAGGGGGACAACAGUUGGAAACGACUGCUAAUACCGCAUAAAGCCUGAGGGUGAAAGCAGCAAUGCGCUAUCAGAUGUGCCCAAACGGGAUUAGCUAGUAGGUGAGGUAAAGGCUCACCUAGGCGACGAUCUCUAGCUGGUCUGAGAGGAUGAUCAGCCACAUUGGGACUGAGACACGGCCCAGACUCCUACGGGAGGCAGCAGUAGGGAAUAUUGCACAAUGGAGGAAACUCUGAUCCAGUGACGCCGCGUGAAGGAAGAAGGUCUUCGGAUUGUAAACUUAUUUAUCAGGGAGAAGAAAGUGACAGUACCUGAAGAAAAAGGACCGGCAAACUACGUG